UACGUAGGCAGCGGAGCGUUGUUCGGAGUUACUGGGCGUAAAGGGUGCGUAGGCGGUUGUUUAAGUUUGGUGUGAAAUCUCCCGGCUCAACUGGGAGGGUGCGCCGAAUACUGAAUGACUAGAGUGCGGGAGAGGAUAGUGGAAUUCCUGGUGUAGCGGUGAAAUGCGUAGAUAUCAGGAGGAACACCAACGGCGAAGGCAGCUCUCUGGGACGUUACUGACGCUGAGACGCGAAAACGUGGGGAGCAAACAGG
rnacentral:rRNA from 1 species